UUAAGUUCAGCGGGUAGUCCUACCUGAUUUGAGGUCAAGAAGUUCAUUAAUGAUUGUCCACAGUGGACGAUUAGCAGCUGAACUAGUCAGAGAGCAGUCAUCACAGUGUAGAUAAUUAUCACACUAGUGACGGGACUGCAAACGGUUCCGCUAAUGUAUUUCAGGAGAGCCGACCUAGUAAAGGCCCGCAAACUCCCAAC
rnacentral:misc_RNA from 1 species